GUCGGAAUAGCUCAGUUGGGAGAGCGUUAGACGAAAGAUCUAAAGGCCCACGGUUCAAUCCCGGGUUCCGGCC